CUACCUACCCCCCACCACAGCCCACCCCCACCCUAUACAUAUGGGCCACCUGCCACGACAACAACAGAGAAGCCGAAGUACUGGUUCGACUGGGCAGUAAACGACCAUUAUUCCGGCAACGAAUAUAACAUGCAGGAACACCGCGACGGGGAGAAGACCGAAGGAUUCUACAACGUUUUGCUUCCCGACACGCGAGUCCAGAGGGUCUCUUACACUGUCGACGGCGACUCCGGUUUCGUGGCUGAAGUUACUUACGAAGGAGAGGCGAAGGAACCUACAAACAGACAGACUUAUCUGCCGCCCACCCCUCCUACACCUCCUCCUUCAAUCUAUGAUGUCCCUCAUUAAUUCUCUUAGUGUAUCGAACGAUUAUUUAUUACUUAAUAUUCUAGCAUUUCCAAAUGAAAAUUAUGAAUGGCUGAUUAACAAUCAUCAGUGUUUUUCUGGUGUGACUUAAGAGCUGAAAUAUAGUAAUUGGCGGCUUAAU